rnacentral:rRNA from 1 species
UACGUAGGCAGCAAGCGUUGUUCGGAGUUACUGGGCGUAAAGGGCGCGUAGGCGGCCACCGCAAGUCGAUUGUGAAAUCUCCGGGCUUAACCCGGAAAGGUCAACCGAUACUGCGGGGCUAGAGUGCAGAAGGGGCAACUGGAAUUCUCGGUGUAGCGGUGAAAUGCGUAGAUAUCGAGAGGAACACCUGCGGCGAAGGCGGGUUGCUGGGCUGACACUGACGCUGAAGUGCGAAAGCUAGGGGAGCGAACGGG